AGGUGGUGAGCCUCCCUGUCAUGCAGUUAUAGGGACCAGACCGUACUGCUCCCCAGAGUACAGCCCUGACUUCUACAGGUCCAGCUCAACAUCACAUCCCUGCACAUCCGGGAUGUCACAUGUCAAAGCAGAAAACUCCACUCCUCUCCAGCCUUCUACCAAACAAUAUGUGCCCUACACAGAGAAGAAGAAACUUCUGGAUAAGCAGGAGGAGAUCCAGGAGGUGAAGCAGCUGGAUGACUGGAAACCGGCUGUAGACAUCUUUACAGCAGUGCUGGAGGGUUUAAAUGGCAAGGUCAGCUAACAGAGUGUAAAGGCUCAUAUAGAGGUUAUUACUGUAGCCUCAAUCCUAACAUUGUAAGACAUGCAUGUGAUAAGAUACAUCAGAGUAAAACAAUGUGUCUAUGUGUCUUUCUUAUUUUUGUCUAAUGAGAGACCAAAGCAUAGGAAGCUGUUCUAGUCUUUGUUGUUGUUGUUGUUCCUCUCCUUUAUGCUCUGUCUCUCUUUUUAGACGCUACUCCUGGAAACUGAAUCUUUACCCACGUUUGUGAGCUGUUCUUUUAGGGAGAAAAGUGAGGUCAAGAUGAUACACAAUCAAUUUGUUUGUAGCUACACCAGUUAGCUAUGAACUCAUUAAGGCCCCGUGUCCACAUAGUGUUUUUUCCAGUCAGAAAAGCGCUGAC